UGUCGUGAUUCUCAUUAUUCUUCUCCCAAGAUUUUAGGCUGUAACCAACAUAGGACGAUCUGACAUGGUUUUAUUUUAUUGAUGUUUUUCUUUAAUCGCAUCGGCUCCUAAUGCUUUCGAACUGUGUGUUUUGCAGGUUUCCUCCUUUUCCAUCGCUUAUCCUUCCUUUCCGUGUUCGUUCUAUGGGUUCCCUCGUUUACAUGAGCGCCGAAGUUCAAUUUCUUGAGGAGAUUCAAGAACAUAGGGUAGCAAGAACUAACAAAGGGCCCAUCAUCUCGCCUGGGGUUCUGAUCUCGAGAGGACGUCAAGAUCGAGAGUGUUCCACGGCAAGAAUUAGGUCGGCAAUGAGACACCGUGAGAUCAACGCCUCUGCUUCAAGAGAUGUCAAUCCUUCAAUUAGGAAAGAUGUCUAAGCAUUCGCUUUGGACGGAACGGGGUGGCCAGGUUAAAGUACACAUUACCCGGAAGGACAUGACCUACGAAGUGAGCUAGCACCUUGAUUCGUUCCUAAAUUGGGACUUGCUCUCAGACAUUAAUCAAAUGGAAGCAGUCCUUCAAGAUAACGAAGGUUGUGCUGAAAGGAGAGGAAGAACAGGACAGGACAUGGCCAUUUGUCAGGACCUUGAGAUGGCCAUUUUAAAACCAUCAGUCAUAGUUGCUUCAAAUGCAUUGUGGGAUCAUGAGCUGUUCAUCAGCACCAUUUAAGGGUGAGGUCAGCCUUUCUUCUCCUUUUAGCUGGUUUGAGGAAGGGAAGUGAUGCUGUAUUGUUGAUAAACUCUUAAGGAUGCUGAUCAGCUAAGAUUAGAAACAUGUCAUUGAGGUGCUGUACAGUGGGUCUUGGACCAGGUGGUGAGGAAGGAACCAAUUGAAGCGAGAAGCUCAUUUAAGGCAAGACACUUUGUGUUUUGAGUUGCAUUUAUAGUGAGGCUUGUAAAGUUGUGGAGGGCUAAAGGUGUGCCAAAAACUGAAUGAGAAGCAAACUACGGCACUUCCCAUGGUGACAAGUAAGAUGUCAAAGAUGGCUGUCUAUCAAAAUGCAUGACAGAUUAGUUUAUUAUCUGUUAUGCUUUGAGUGGGAAGGCUUGGGAUCUUAUGCAUCAGCACUGGGUAUCGUUCUUAAGAUAUCUUGUGAUUGACUUUUUAAACCCUUAUUUGGCUGAAGCUGCAAGUUAAUCCGAUCCAGUUUUUUCUUGAGUAGAUCCAAAUUGAAAAACCCAUAGAAGUAUUUGCACCAAAAGAUGUGGAGUAUUUGGUGGACUAUUGAAGUACAGUGACAACGAACCCAUAUUUCCUAAAAAGCUUGCCAAUCUGUUUCUUGGAGCUAUAUAUGAGUAUUCAUGUAGCCAAUGGAGCCGCCAAGUGUUGCUAUCAAGUAUUUGUUUGGGAAGAUUGAAGAGGUGCUUGGGCUAGGCUGCCAUUGCUUGCCUUGGUUUUUUCCCAGUCAUCCUGUUGGAUUUCUACCAUUGAGACAUCACAUGUCAAGUUUGAAAACCAAUACAAAGUUUCCUAUUUUUCUUCAUCAGUUUACCUAGUCUAUAUCAUCAUUUAACAACAAUGGUUAUAGUGAUAAACGUUCUGCCACUACUUUUCUUUUGCAUCGAUGUGGUUUAUAAUGCUUCAACGCUUUCAUUUGUGAAAAAGUUGGAAAGUUUCAUGUA